AUACGGCUUCUUGGGAGAGGGCACAGUGUUGGGUGCCCACGCACGCGCGCGCGUAUAUAUCCAGCGUCUCACAUAUGCGGUAUAUAUAUAAGUGUGUGUGCGACGUGUAUAAAAGCGUCUGUAUGUGUGAAUAUUCUGGGAUCAGUACGCAUGGUCUGUGCGCUUCGGUAUGAUACUGGUGUCAUCUGGUUCUCUCCCUUCUGAAGAACCGUCAAUGCCAUUCAGUUGGUGUGGCGGGAAAUCAGGACUGUUACU
rnacentral:rRNA from 1 species